rnacentral:rRNA from 1 species
GACGAACGCUGGCGGCGUGCUUAACACAUGCAAGUCGAGCGGAAAGGCCCUUCGGGGUACUCGAGCGGCGAACGGGUGAGUAACACGUGAGUAACCUGUCCUUGGCUUUGGGAUAACCCUCGGAAACGGGGGCUAAUACCGGAUAUGACCCUUGUCUGCAUGGGUGGGGGUGGAAAGUUUUUCGGCUAGGGGUGGGCUCGCGGCCUAUCAGCUUGUUGGUGGGGUGAUGGCCUACCAAGGCGACGACGGGUAGCCGGCCUGAGAGGGCGACCGGCCACACUGGGACUGAGACACGGCCCAGACUCCUACGGGAGGCAGCAGUGGGGAAUAUUGCACAAUGGGCGGAAGCCUGAUGCAGCGACGCCGCGUGAGGGAUGACGGCCUUCGGGUUGUAAACCUCUUUCAGCAGGGACGAAGCGCAAGUGACGG